UUAUUUGGCAGAUGCCUUUGUCCAACGAGGACUCUCCAAACCCCUGCUGAUGUGCUGUAAAACCCACUCCUUUAAGCUAAGUGUUCACACUGGUGUUGAUGAAACAAGCCUGAAUGACCUGACUCCAGUGACUAAACUUUACCAGGAAAUUGCAUCAUGCAGGAUUGCCAUGUGACUGAGAUCUACAUGCCCUGCCCAGACAAAGACAAGACAGGUGGUCCCUGCUAUUGAAGAAAUAGCACAGGCAAGAUAAAGGGAGCAUGUGGAGGCUGGACCAGCAAGCAAAACAAGAACCAGAGCUUAGCAGCGUCUGAUCGUUUAGUUUCGGAAAACCAAAAAACUGUAUAAAAAAAAAAAAAAAAGCAAAACAAUUUUGUCCAAAUGAUUAUUUUCUGAUCUGUUUUUUCUUUGUUGUUCAUGUAGAAUUUGUUUAGCUUACCAGCGAUCAUAAAAAGACACGGAUUAUGAACGGGUCAAAUUCAUUUAGUUACAAUGGGAAGUUCAAAAGCAGGCAAGAAACAACCUACGCCUAAAAUCACUGGAACUGCUUUUUUGUUUGAUAGCAUUAACAGUAUUUUAAGUAUUUGUAAUUAGAAAUUGGCAACCUGAUGCAACAUUUGAACUGGUAACACAGUAAAUCUGCCGCCGCAAACUAUCAAAGUAGUUUAAAAUGUAAUGAAGUCUCCCAAAAACGAUGCUUCACGUGCUGUAACUGAAUACAACCAAAUCCUUUUUGUGAUGUGUUGGCUGUUUUUCUCAGUUUGUGAGUCUGAUGGUUCUCAGAUAAGGCGGUCAUGUGCUGAUGUUGGAAACAUUCAUUUCAAUACCACAAACUGCUGAAACAAUAGAGAGAUCUGGGGUGAACAGCUUGCACAUGGCCUCCACCCCCCCCCCCCCCCCCCCCCCCCCCCCCA